UACGUAGGGUGCAAGCGUUAAUCGGAAUUACUGGGCGUAAAGCGUGCGCAGGCGGUCUUGCAAGACAGGUGUGAAAUCCCCGGGCUUAACCUGGGAACUGCAUUCGAGACUGCAUUGCUAGAGUAUGGGAGAGGGAAGUGGAAUUUCCGGUGUAGCGGUGAAAUGCGUAGAUAUCGGAAGGAACAUCAGUGGCGAAAGCGACUUCCUGGACCAAUACUGACGCUCAUGUGCGAAAGCGUGGGGAGCAAACAGG
rnacentral:rRNA from 1 species